AUCGGAGGCUCCUGCAACUCAUUCUUUUAUUUUUCAAUGCCCCUUGGCAAUCAUUAUUUCACCUGACCGUUUGAUCCGUUUUCAUACGGGUUCAUACGUGGAGGUUAGAGGAGAUGUGAACCAUGACAUGUAGUUCAAUCUACCUAAUAGACCACGAACCUCUUUUUUGUUCUCGGUUCAGGCACUUUUUGUUUUUUUUUUUUUUUUUUUUUAAAGCAGGAUCAACCUCGAUUCCUCUCUUACUUACAAUAAACCCCCAGCAGCUUACCGGCCCGCACUCUGAUAGUGCACUUAUUCGAAUUCAACCUCAGUCUGAAUUAUCUCAACCGGUCAAACGACUUUCC
rnacentral:lncRNA from 1 species